rnacentral:sRNA from 1 species
UAGUUGGGUAUCGACUACUGUAGUGUG